rnacentral:rRNA from 1 species
UCAAGCGAACAAGUGCAUGUGGUGGAUGCCUUGGCGAUCACAGGCGAUGAAGGACGCGGUAGCCUGCGAAAAGCUACGGGGAGCUGGCAAACGAGCUUUGAUCCGUAGAUGUCCGAAUGGGGAAACCCGGCCCUUUUGGGUCAUCCUAGACUGAAUACAUAGGUCUAGUGAAGCGAACGCGGUGAACUGAAACAUCUAAGUAACCGCAGGAAAAGAAAUCAACCGAGAUUCCCAAAGUAGUGGCGAGCGAAAUGGGAAGAGCCUGUACUCUUUAUUUGUAUUGUUAGCCGAACGCUCUGGAAAGUGCGGCCAUAGCAGGUGAUAGCCCUGUAGGCGAAAACAGUAUGAAAGAACUAGGUGUACGACAAGUAGGGCGGGACACGUGAAAUCCUGUCUGAAGAUGGGGGGACCAUCCUCCAAGGCUAAAUACUCGUGAUCGACCGAUAGUGAACCAGUACCGUGAGGGAAAGGCGAAAAGAACCCCGGGAGGGGAGUGAAAUAGAUCCUGAAACCGCAUGCAUACAAACAGUCGGAGCCUCGCAAGGGGUGACGGCGUACCUUUUGUAUAAUGGGUCAGCGACUUACGUUCAGUAGCAAGCUUAACCGAAUAGGGCAGGCGUAGCGAAAGCGAGUCCGAAUAGGGCGUUCAGUUGCUGGGCGUAGACCCGAAACCAGGUGAUCUAUCCAUGGCCAGGAUGAAGGUGCGGUAACACGUACUGGAGGUCCGAACCCACUAACGUUGAAAAGUUAGGGGAUGAGCUGUGGAUAGGGGUGAAAGGCUAAACAAACCUGGAAAUAGCUGGUUCUCUCCGAAAACUAUUUAGGUAGUGCCUCGUGUCUCACCUUCGGGGGUAGAGCACUGUCAUGGUUGGGGGGUCUAUUGCAGAUUACCCCGCCAUAGCAAACUCCGAAUACCGAAGAGUGCAAUCACGGGAGACAGACAUCGGGUGCUAACGUCCGGUGUCAAGAGGGAAACAACCCAGACCGCCAGCUAAGGUCCCCAAAUAUGGCUAAGUGGGAAACGAAGUGGGAAGGCUAAAACAGUCAGGAGGUUGGCUUAGAAGCAGCCACCCUUUAAAGAAAGCGUAAUAGCUCACUGAUCGAGUCGUCCUGCGCGGAAGAUGUAACGGGGCUAAGCCAUAUACCGAAGCUGUGGAUGCGAGCUAGUCUCGCAUGGUAGGAGAGCGUUCCGUAAGCCUGCGAAGGUGCGUUGAAAAGCGUGCUGGAGGUAUCGGAAGUGCGAAUGCUGACAUGAGUAGCGAUAAAGGGGGUGAAAGGCCCCCUCGCCGUAAGCCCAAGGUUUCCUACGCAACGUUCAUCGGCGUAGGGUGAGUCGGCCCCUAAGGCGAGGCAGAAAUGCGUAGCUGAUGGGAAGCAGGUCAAUAUUCCUGCACCGUCGUUAGAUGCGAUGGGGGGACGGAUCGCGGAAGGUUGUCCGGGUGUUGGAAGUCCCGGUCGCUGCAUUGGAGAAGGCGCUUAGGCAAAUCCGGGCGCAGGAUUCAAGGGUGUGGCGCGAGCGCUCUAGGGCGCGAAGCAAUUGGAAGUGGUUCCAAGAAAAGCCUCUAAGCUUCAGUCUAACGAUGACCGUACCGCAAACCGACACAGGUGGGCGAGAUGAGUAUUCUAAGGCGCUUGAGAGAACUCGGGAGAAGGAACUCGGCAAAUUGGUACCGUAACUUCGGGAUAAGGUACGCCCUGGUAGCUUGACUGGCCUGCGCCAGAAGGGUGAAGGGGUUGCAAUAAACUGGUGGCUGCGACUGUUUAAUAAAAACACAGCACUCUGCAAACACGAAAGUGGACGUAUAGGGUGUGACGCCUGCCCGGUGCCGGAAGAUUAAAUGAUGGGGUGCAAGCUCUUGAUUGAAGUCCCGGUAAACGGCGGCCGUAACUAUAACGGUCCUAAGGUAGCGAAAUUCCUUGUCGGGUAAGUUCCGACCUGCACGAAUGGCGUAACGAUGGCCACACUGUCUCCUCCCGAGACUCAGCGAAGUUGAAGUGUUUGUGAUGAUGCAAUCUACCCGCGGCUAGACGGAAAGACCCCAUGAACCUUUACUGUAGCUUUGCAUUGGACUUUGAACCGAUCUGUGUAGGAUAGGUGGGAGGCUAUGAAACCGGAACGCUAGUUUCGGUGGAGCCGUCCUUGAAAUACCACCCUGGUUUGUUUGAGGUUCUAACCUUGGCCCGUGAUCCGGGUCGGGGACAGUGCAUGGUAGGCAGUUUGACUGGGGCGGUCUCCUCCCAAAGCGUAACGGAGGAGUACGAAGGUACGCUAGGUACGGUCGGAAAUCGUGCUGAUAGUGCAAUGGCAUAAGCGUGCUUAACUGCGAGACCGACAAGUCGAGCAGGUGCGAAAGCAGGUCAUAGUGAUCCGGUGGUUCUGUAUGGAAGGGCCAUCGCUCAACGGAUAAAAGGUACUCUGGGGAUAACAGGCUGAUACCGCCCAAGAGUUCAUAUCGACGGCGGUGUUUGGCACCUCGAUGUCGGCUCAUCUCAUCCUGGGGCUGUAGCCGGUCCCAAGGGUAUGGCUGUUCGCCAUUUAAAGAGGUACGUGAGCUGGGUUUAAAACGUCGUGAGACAGUUUGGUCCCUAUCUGCCGUGGGCGUUGGAAGUUUGAAGGGGGCUGCUCCUAGUACGAGAGGACCGGAGUGGACGAACCUCUGGUGUACCGGUUGUGACGCCAGUCGCAUCGCCGGGUAGCUAUGUUCGGAAGAGAUAACCGCUGAAAGCAUCUAAGCGGGAAACUCGCCUUAAGAUGAGACUUCCCCGGGGACUUGAUCCCCUUGAAGGGUCGUUCGAGACCAGGACGUUGAUAGGUCGGGUGUGUAAGCGCAGUAAUGCGUUCAGCUAACCGAUACUAAUUGCCCGUACGGCUUGAUCCU